CAUUCUUCCACGACGUGCUGUGCUGGAAUCCCUGAGCCUGCUCUGGCCUGGGAGGCUGCCUGAUUUGUGAGUCCUUCAUUGCUUCAUUAAAUUCUUUUACAUUUAAUCCGGUUGAAGUUUUCCUUUAAUGAACUGAUUUUUUAAAAAGUACCUAAGGUUAGCUUUAAAAAAAAAAAUCUGUCCUUAAAAAUUGGGUUGGCCAGGCGCAGAAGUGCAGUGGCUCAUGCUUGUAAUCCCAGCCUCCCAAAGCACUGGGAAUACAGGCAUAAACCACUGCUUAUGGUCAAAAAUAACACUUUCAUGUAUAAUUUUCUCAUUAGAAAUUUGUCAAAUCACACCUAGAACUGAGAACACCACCGAGCCUCUUCAGGGACUUAGAAAUCAGGGAAACCCCUGAUGUGUGUGAAUAUACAUUGGCCUGCGUCCUGGCCGGGGAAGGCAAGUUUAAGUUUUCAGAGGAUUUGUAGGUUGGAUGUCAUGAUUGCCUUCCUCAGGGCUGUCAUUUCUUAAUGUCUUUUAUAUUCUUCUUCUCAUCUCCCUUCUGCACUGAGUCAGGGCCUCUCUCAUGGAGCAACAGUCUUCCCACAGAGAGUAAAGUCAUCACAGUGGAGGCUUGCUCAACCUUUACAAAUUCUAAAACCACAGGCCAACAUUAACUUCCUCCAUUUCUCACCGGAAAUCAACAUGGCCACCACCAUCGUGCCUCAUCCUGCUCCUCUUGGACUGUAAAUCAUGGCUUGUUCAUUGUAAGCCGUCAAUUGCAUGUUGUUUCAGUUGUCUGCCAACUCAAUUCUAUCAGUGUGUUUUGACUGAUAGAAUUUUGUAAACUCCCUUUUACAUUUAUUUGUAUUUGACGAGAUGGUUUGAUUUUGUUGAGCUGUCUUCCUCUUUGUUAUCCCUCCUAUCACAGUUCUUGGAGCUCACUACCCCUUUUCAGAUUGUCAUGGGCAGGCAAAUUGCUGGUCCCCUCGCCUUGCAAGGUCCUUUGCAUAACCACACAGUUUUCACUUGAAAAGACAAUAGAGUUGCCAGAUAAAAUACAGGCCCCUGCAAGAUCUGGAACACACUCUGCACGAUGCCAUGCAGUAUUUGGGAUAUACUUAUGCCAAAACUUGUUCAUUAUUUAUGUGAAAUUCAAGUUUAAUUUGAAUUAAAUAUUGGCACCCGUAUUUUUAUUUGUUAAAUUUUUAUUUGUUAAAUAUUUGUUAAACUUUUAUUUGAUAUACUUAUGCCAAAACUUGUUCAUUAUUUAUGUGAAAUUCAAGUUUAAUUUGAAUUAAAUAUUGGCACCUGUAUUUUUAUUUGUUAAAUCUUGCCACCCUCAAGUACAAACGCCUCUGUACCUCAGAGGCAUAAGAAUGUGCAAAUGGGAUUCAUGCAACUCACAACCUAGACCUCCCUCUCUUUUCUAUCUUCAAAAACCAAUGUUCUUUUACUGUUAAGAACCUUGGGAGAGAGGGAAAUCACAAGGUAGUCUUAAGCAGAUUACUACACUCUUGUAGUGAUAACAUUUAAUUAAAAAAUUGAUUUAUUUUUCUUCUGACUUAAAAGCAAAAUGAAACAAAACAAAACAAAACCCCAAACCACAAACUCAGGCCUCCUCUCUGGGCUUCCCUGCACACAGGCUGAUGUUAACUGCACUGAGCACCCUGGGAACAUCAGUCCAACUGCAGGCACUGGAAUCGCUGUAGACCAUGACGGACAAUGGCUCCCAUACACACAGUAUUCCAGUCUUGGGAGUGAAAAUGGCCCCGUGCAGCCUCACGGCCCAUGGGUUUAGGCUGAACUUUGAGACCAUUUCUUUUUAUUCACACCUGGGAUGGCCUAGCCCAACUGAAACCAAGCAACCUGGACGCCCUAUCAGUGGCUGUGAAAUCAUAGGCCAAAUUCCUCUGUGGCAAAGACUUCCUGUAAAAAAUACCGUUAAGGCCUAGCCAGGUCCGAAAUGAAUAAAUGAAUAAUCAUUGAUUAUUGAUCAAUGCUUUUUAAUCAGUGCCCUCUGUGAAAAGGAACUAUCCCUCCCCACAAAACUCUUUUAUGAAUAGAACCAGAAUGGUUGAAGGGUGGUUUCAUUCUUUUUUUUAAGAGAUGGGGUCUUGCUGUGUUGCCCAGGCUAGUCUUAAACUCCUGGCCUCACGUGAUCCUCCUGCCUCAGCCUCGGCCACUGAGCCUGGCUCAUUCACUUUUUACCUACUUUUGGAACCUCAAAUGGUAACUAACUUACCAAGUGAUUGGCAUAGCUACCAAGGUGAAAUGUUAAAUUUAAUGCAGUGUCACAUCGUUCUUCCAGAUUCGUGGUGAGUAGGAUUAUCCAACAAUCCCUCUCAUGUAUUUCUUUCUUUUUUUUUUUUUUUUUUGAGAUGGAGUCU
rnacentral:lncRNA from 1 species